CUCAUGGACACGGUCUGUUAGAUAAACAUCCAAGCCAAUGAGGAAGGAAGAAUUCGUUUCUUACCCGCGGUCUCUGUGCCGAGCCCUUGUCGCACUUCUCCUGGUCCAGCAGAAAUGCCAGUGGUGGUGAAGUUAAGCCGAGGGCAUGGGACACCUCAAUCCGUCGUUUGCGUGUCAGGGGUGUCCCUACAACCCAGACUAACUAUACCGAAAACCACGCUGUUGCCAGAUGAAUGGAUCUCACUUUCCACUGUGGAACUGAUGCAAGAGAUCGGGAUGGAAACACCAAUUAAAAUAGAAAUUUAGGCUACUGGUGACUAAAGAUCACCGAUGUUUAGUUCCGAUAGUGUUUUAUUUAUUCGGAAAAGCAAAAUUUGAAUUCCAAAUGGUCAACGUGUUUUUAACAAACAAAAUAUGGUUAAAUAGAUUUAACAAACGACCCAAUGACUACUUUUCUUUUCGCCGCCGCUAUUUUGCCUGUAUGUCUUUAUCUCACACAACACAGAUGGACAGGAGAAAACAAUAACACAAAAGAAUUCUAACCGUGGGGUCUCAUCCAAGGAAACAUGAGACUGGGAGACGAGUUUUGAUUUAAGUGGCCUUGUCCUUCUCCGGGGUUACUGCCAUUAGACGAUUUACAGUCUGGGUAUUGCGUUAAACUCGCCUCUUGCUGGGUUCCAUAAAGUGAUUGCCUCGGAAGGGCUUCGUAUCCAUAAAAUUUCGUGGCGUCUCCGUGGCAAGCUAAAGCACAGGGAUUCUGUUGGUAUCCGGGGCUGGAGAUUCCCGAUGUCCCGUGGUGGAAAAAAUCCUGGACGUGAUGGGGAGGGUGUUGAAAAGCCGGUGUUGGCGUUCCGGGUCCGUACACCAGUGUGUGGCCACGGGUGACGCUUUGAGGGAACCGGCAGUCGUAGUAAGUUGGCUCCAGCGUUUCGCCGCCUUUGUACUUGGAGAAAAGAGGGUUAACAAAAUAGGAACUCAUGUUCUGUUUGCAUUAAAAGAGGCUGGUAUUUCUUUCCUGUAGUAAAUUUAUUUUAAAGUUAUUUCCCAAAUUUCACACACACCAAAGACACAUCAGCCGGAGCCAGACGGCAAAUCGCUGGUUGUUUAGACAAUCUCAGAUUUCUCAAAUAGACUGCCUGUUUUCACUCUCUCUCUUCUCUCACACGAGCCUCCCCGUGUGUCCUUAUUCACUGUUUGCGGUCUCAGAACCGACACACGGCGUGCAGGGUUGAUGUGUGUUACGGUCAGAGCUGGCUAGCUCCGGCGGCAGAGUCACAAGCGCUCAGUUUUUUUUUUUUUUUUGCUCCCUACCCAACCACUCUUCACUACAUUGACCCCCGCCUCCGCUCGUCUCUACACCAACCUUCAUCUGCCCCCCCCCC